rnacentral:rRNA from 1 species
GAUGAACGCUGGCGGCGUGCCUAAUACAUGCAAGUCGAGCGAACAGACGAGGAGCUUGCUCCUCUGACGUUAGCGGCGGACGGGUGAGUAACACGUGGAUAACCUACCUAUAAGACUGGGAUAACUUCUGGAAACCGGAGCUAAUACCGGAUAAUAUAUUGAACCGCAUGGUUCAAUAGUGAAAGACGGUUUUGCUGUCACUUAUAGAUGGAUCCGCGCCGCAUUAGCUAGUUGGUAAGGUAACGGCUUACCAAGGCAACGAUGCGUAGCCGACCUGAGAGGGUGAUCGGCCACACUGGAACUGAGACACGGUCCAGACUCCUACGGGAGGCAGCAGUAGGGAAUCUUCCGCAAUGGGCGAAAGCCUGACGGAGCAACGCCGCGUGAGUGAUGAAGGUCUUCGGAUCGUAAAACUCUGUUAUUAGGGAAGAACAAAUGUGUAAGUAACUAUGCACGUCUUGACGGUACCUAAUCAGAAAGCCACGGCCAACUACGUG